GGUGAACGCUGGCGGCGUGCUUAACACAUGCAAGUCGAACGAACUUAUUAGGGCUUGCUCUAAUAAGUUAGUGGCAGACGGGUGAGUAAUACACAGGAAUCUACCCAGCAGUACGGAAUAACUUCUGGAAACGAAAGAUAAUACCGUAUACAGCUGAGAAGUGAAAGAUUUAUCGCUGUUGGAUGAGCCUAUGCAGGAUUAGCUAGUUGGUGGGGUAAUGGCCUACCAAGGCUAUGAUCCUUAGCUGGUCUGAGAGGAUGAACAGCCACACUGGAACUGAGACACGGUCCAGACUCCUACGGGAGGCAGCAGUGGGGAAUUUUGGACAAUGGGCGAAAGCCUGAUCCAGCGACGCCGCGUGAGUGAUGAAGGCCUUAGGGUUGUAAAGCUCUUUCAGUAGGGAAGAUAGUGACGGUACCUACAGAAGAAGCCCCGGCUAACUUCGUGCCAGCCGCCGCUGUAA
rnacentral:rRNA from 1 species